GAUGCACGCUGGCGGCGUGCCUAAUACAUGCAAGUCGAGCGAAGCGGGGACGAGUGAGUAACACGUGGAUAACCUCCUAUAAGGCUGGGAUAACUUCGGGAAACCGGAGCUAAACCGGAUGCUUAUAAAUGGAUCCGCGCUACAUUAGCUCGUUGGUACGGUAACGGCUUACCAAGGCAAAUAUGCCUAGCCGACCUGAGAGGGUGAUCGUCCACACUGUAACUGAGACACUGUCGCGACUCCUACGGGAGGCAGCAGUAGGGAAUCUUCCGCAAUGGGCGAAAGCCUGACGGAGCAACGCCGCGUGAGUGAUGAAGGUCUGCGGAGCGUAAAACGCUGUUAUUAGGGAAGCGGUACCUAAUCAGAAAGCCACGGCUAACUACGGGCCAGCAGCCGCGGUAAUUC
rnacentral:rRNA from 1 species